rnacentral:rRNA from 1 species
GACGAACGCUGGCGGCGUGCUUAACACAUGCAAGUCGAACGGAAAGGCCCUGCUUUUGUGGGGUGCUCGAGUGGCGAACGGGUGAGUAACACGUGAGUAACCUGCCCUUGACUUUGGGAUAACUUCAGGAAACUGGGGCUAAUACCGGAUAGGAGCUCCUGCUGCAUGGUGGGGGUUGGAAAGUUUCGGCGGUUGGGGAUGGACUCGCGGCUUAUCAGCUUGUUGGUGGGGUAGUGGCUUACCAAGGCUUUGACGGGUAGCCGGCCUGAGAGGGUGACCGGCCACAUUGGGACUGAGAUACGGCCCAGACUCCUACGGGAGGCAGCAGUGGGGAAUAUUGCACAAUGGGCGGAAGCCUGAUGCAGCAACGCCGCGUGCGGGAUGACGGCCUUCGGGUUGUAAACCGCUUUCGCCUGUGACGAAGCGUGAGUGACGGUAAUGGGUAAAGAAGCACCGGCUAACUACGUGCCAGCAGCCGCGGUGAUACGUAGGGUGCGAGCGUUGUCCGGAUUUAUUGGGCGUAAAGGGCUCGUAGGUGGUUGAUCGCGUCGGAAGUGUAAUCUUGGGGCUUAACCCUGAGCGUGCUUUCGAUACGGGCUGACUUGAGGAAGGUAGGGGAGAAUGAAAUUCCUGGUGGAGCGGUGGAAUGCGCAGAUAUCAGGAGGAACACCAGUGGCGAAGGCGGUUCUCUGGGCCUUUCCUGACGCUGAGGAGCGAAAGCGUGGGGAGCGAACAGGCUUAGAUACCCUGGUAGUCCACGCUGUAAACGGUGGGUACUAGGUGUGGGGUCCAUUCCACGGGUUCCGUGCCGUAGCUAACGCUUUAAGUACCCCGCCUGGGGAGUACGGCCGCAAGGCUAAAACUCAAAGGAAUUGACGGGGCCCCGCACAAGCGGCGGAGCAUGCGGAUUAAUUCGAUGCAACGCGUAGAACCUUACCUGGGUUUGACAUGGAUCGGGAGUGCUCAGAGAUGGGUGUGCCUCUUUUGGGGUCGGUUCACAGGUGGUGCAUGGCUGUCGUCAGCUCGUGUCGUGAGAUGUUGGGUUAAGUCCCGCAACGAGCGCAACCCUUGUUCACUGUUGCCAGCACGUUAUGGUGGGGACUCAGUGGAGACCGCCGGGGUCAACUCGGAGGAAGGUGGGGAUGACGUCAAGUCAUCAUGCCCCUUAUGUCCAGGGCUUCACGCAUGCUACAAUGGCUGGUACAGAGAGUGGCGAGCCUGUGAGGGUGAGCGAAUCUCGGAAAGCCGGUCUCAGUUCGGAUUGGGGUCUGCAACUCGACCUCAUGAAGUCGGAGUCGCUAGUAAUCGCAGAUCAGCAACGCUGCGGUGAAUACGUUCCCGGG